rnacentral:rRNA from 1 species
UACGUAGGGUGCAAGCGUUGUCCGGAAUUAUUGGGCGUAAAGGGCUCGUAGGCGGUCCGUCACGUCGGGAGUGAAAACUUGGGGCUUAACCCCAAGCCUGCUUCCGAUACGGGCGGACUAGAGGUAGGCAGGGGAGAACGGAAUUCCUGGUGUAGCGGUAAAAUGCUCAAAUAUAUAGAGGAACACCAAACGGCGAAGGCAGUUAACUAUUCAGUUCUUGACGUUGAGGCACGAAAGCGUGGGGAGCAAGACGG